rnacentral:lncRNA from 1 species
UGGAAUUGGAGCAGUGCACAUGGGACCCGGCCGACGGCCUUUGUUCCAUUUCAGGCCCCUUGCCGCGCGACCUUUUGGUCUUUUUGACAUGUUUCAGACCACGACAUGACUUGGAACUGUUUGGGCACACUGGCACAGCACGAACGUGCUGAACGUACUGGCACAGCAUGGUGGGUGGUACGGCACGGCAGGGACAACAAAUGUUUUGAGUAGCUAGCACGAA